rnacentral:rRNA from 1 species
GUGGGGAAUAUUGGACAAUGGGCGCAAGCCUGAUCCAGCCAUGCCGCGUGGGUGAAGAAGGCCUUCGGGUUGUAAAGCCCUUUUGUUGGGAAAGAAAACUUUCCGAUUAAUACUCGGAGAGAAUGACGGUACCCAAAGAAUAAGCACCGGCUAACUUCGUGCCAGCAGCCGCGGUAAUACGAAGGGUGCAAGCGUUACUCGGAAUUACUGGGCGUAAAGCGUGCGUAGGUGGUUCGUUAAGUCUGAUGUGAAAGCCCUGGGCUCAACCUGGGAAUUGCAUUGGAAACUGGCGGGCUAGAGUACGGUAGAGGGUAGUGGAAUUCCUGGUGUAGCAGUGAAAUGCGUAGAGAUCAGGAGGAACAUCCGUGGCGAAGGCGACUACCUGGACCAGUACUGACACUGAGGCACGAAAGCGUGGGGAGCAAACAGGAUUAGAAACCCCUGUAGUCC